rnacentral:rRNA from 1 species
AACGUAGGAGGCAAGCGUUAUCCGGAUUUACUGGGCGUAAAGGGCGUGCAGGUGGUGGUGUAAGUGGUGGGUGAAAGCGCUCGGCUCAACCGGGCGAGGCCGUGCCAAACUGCACGACUAGAAACAGGCAGAGGCAAGUGGAAUUCCGGGUGUAGUGGUGAAAUGCGUAGAGAUCCGGAAGAACACCGGUGGCGAAGGCGGUCUGCUGGGCAGUUGCUGACACUGAGGCGCGACAGCGUGGGGAGCAAACAGG